UACGUAGGGUCCGAGCGUUGUCCGGAAUUACUGGGCGUAAAGAGCUCGUAGGCGGUGUGUCGCGUCGGCCGUGAAAACCUGCAGCUUAACUGUGGGCUUGCGGUCGAUACGGGCAUCACUGGAGUUCGGCAGGGGAGACUGGAAUUCCUGGUGUAGCGGUGAAAUGCGCAGAUAUCAGGAGGAACACCGGUGGCGAAGGGGCGGG
rnacentral:rRNA from 1 species